ACCGUCCUUAUCCUUUCCUUGUCAAUACUAUUUUUUGAGCCGUCCUUGUCAUACUUGAGGUGAUGUUUUUUUCUUCUGUUCAGUGUGUAUAACGGCCUAAGCCCAUCACCACGCGCUAACGCUCUCCAGCAGUUGCCCUAUUUCCUCCCCGAUCUCUUCGCCGGUCGCCGGAGGACGCCUUCCCGCCGCCGCCGUCGCCGAAGCGUUACAGAUAGAUAAGAACAAGAUGGUGAUUAAUGGUGAUGCACCUGCAAGAGGGAGUGCAGCAGCUGCUGCAAGCUUGCGCAGACGUAGAACCACCAGCGGUGCUGCUGCUGGAGGUGGCGGUGGCGCCAGUACAAUGCUUCAGUUCUACACCGAUGAGGCUGCUGGGCGCAAGAUGUCCCCAAAUGCUGUUCUGAUCAUGAGCAUAGGGUUUGUUGCUGUCGUUGCUGUGCUCCAUGUUUUUGGCAAGCUCUACCGUUAGGUUCCAUAUGCAAGCUGCACCUAUGAACAGAG